UACGUAGGGGGCUAGCGUUGUCCGGAAUCAUUGGGCGUAAAGAGCGUGUAGGCUGCUCGGUAAGUCCGCUGUAAAAGUCAAAGGCUCAACCUUUGAAUGUCAGUGGAUACUGCCGGGCUAGAGUCCGGAAGAGGCGAGUGGAACUCCUGGUGUAGCGGUGGAAUGCGCAGAUAUCUGGAGGAACACCGGUGGCGAAGGCGGCAUCCUGGACCGGCAUUGACGCUGAGGAGCGAAAGCCAGGGGAGCAAAGCGGG
rnacentral:rRNA from 1 species